UACGUAGGGUGCGAGCGUUGUCCGGAAUUAUUGGGCGUAAAGAGCUCGUAGGCGGCUUGGCAAGUCGGAUGUGAAAACUCCAGGCUCAACCUGGAGCCGCCAUUCGAUACUGCUAUGCCUAGAGUCCGGUAGGGGAGUGUGGAAUUCCCGGUGUAGCGGUGAAAUGCGCAGAUAUCGGGAGGAACACCGAUGGCGAAGGCAGCACUCUGGGCCGGCACUGACGCUGAGGAGCGAAAGCGUGGGGAGCGAACAGG
rnacentral:rRNA from 1 species